CAGUGAAUAGUUUAAGUUAAAAUAUGGUAUUUGGAUUACCAAGAUUCAAAUCACUGA
rnacentral:tRNA from 1 species